CGCCAUUUUCUAUAACUAGUGUUUAAAGUUUUAUUUUUUUUUACUAUGUCCAGUUUGUAACGCCUUAAUUGUUGUCUCAUUCUUAAAAAAGUUUAAGUUCGUUCUUUAUAUUUAUUUCAUUUUUUAUUUACUUGCUUUUUGUAUAAAAUGAAAAAGAAAAGAAAAAAUAAAACUGAAUAAGUAUUGUCCAUUGUGUCUCAUAUUUCCCUUUUCUCAUUUUUUUUCUUCUUUUUAGUGUUGUUCAUCCUACUGUUUGACUUGUAUACAAGUAUGAUUGUUUAGUUUUCAACCGAAGUUGUAUGAUGUGAUUUACGAUACGAUAUGAUACGAGCAUAUGAUAUGGGCUUUGAAUGUGACGUUGUGAUGAGCUUAGUGCGUACUAUGUGUGUGUUUUGAUGGGAACUACAAUUUGUAUGCAUGUAUUUGGCGUUGAUUAUCCGACAAAAAAAUUCGCAACAUGUUUUUUCCUUCUUCAAUUGAUAAAUGCACAUGUUGAAAAUUUCCGUGCUCAACGCGAAGAGAUUUGGGUACUAUAAAUCUCUUAACGAUCACCCUGCGCGUAGAUGUCCACUUAAUAUGUUGUUGUUGUAGUUUUAUACAGUCCUGAAAGGUAGAGAGAUGUUGGAAUUAAUGACAAGUUUAAAGAAAAAUUGAUUUCUCAGAAAAAGCGUUUAAAUAGUGUGAAAGCUCCCAAGAUUCAGCGGUACAAAAAGCCUUGUAAUGUGUUUUCAGUAAAAUUAGUUCGCUAGUCAGAAAUUUCGUAAACAGUGAAAUGAAUGUGAAGAAAAUAAAUUUUAAAUUCGGAUGUGGAAUA